UACGUAGGUGGCAAGCGUUGUCCGGAAUUAUUGGGCGUAAAGAGUGCGUAGGCGGUCUAUUAAGUCUCAUUUGAAAGCCCAUGGCUUAACCAUGGAGGGUGAUGGGAAACUGAUAGACUUGAGUAAAGGAGAGGAAGGUGGAAUUCCACGUGUAGCGGUGAAAUGCGUAGAGAUGUGGAGGAACACCAGUGGCGAAGGCGGCCUUCUGGCCUUUGUCUGACGCUGAGGCACGAAAGCGUGGGUAGCAAACAGG
rnacentral:rRNA from 1 species